AGCAAUCGGACAUACAGCAGUUCUCUUGGAGAAACAUUUUUUUUUCCCCCCCUUGCCGAGUAGAGUACUGCACACGUGACAAGCAACCGUGAUCAUUCUCAGGGCUUCCCUGGAAUUUGAACCCAGAACUUGUACUUACCAACACAAGCAAGAAUUACAUCCCAAGGCUGUCAGCGGCUGACGAGGUAGUGUAAAGUUUCAGAAAGGGGAAGGGAGAGCAUAAAAUAAAAUAAAUGCAACCACUUGAUGAGGCCUAUUUGAAGCUGGCUGUUCCUUUGCAAUUUGGCGUGUAUGAAAAUUCCUGGAGCUCGAUGAAAGCCGGUGGCUGAAGUGUGGU